rnacentral:rRNA from 1 species
AGAGUUUGAUCAUGGCUCAGAUUGAACGCUGGCGGAAUGCUUUACACAUGCAAGUCGAGCGGCAGCGCGGGGCAACCUGGCGGCGAGCGGCGAACGGGUGAGUAAUGCAUCGGAACAUGUCCAUGUCGUGGGGGAUAGCCCGGCGAAAGCCGGAUUAAUACCGCAUACGCCCGAGAGGGGAAAGUGGGGGACCGCAAGGCCUCACGCGAUUGGGUUGGCCGAUGUCCGAUUAGCUAGUUGGCGGGGUAAAGGCCCACCAAGGCGAUGAUCGGUAGCUGGUCUGAGAGGAUGAUCAGCCACACUGGGACUGAGACACGGCCCAGACUCCUACGGGAGGCAGCAGUGGGGAAUUUUGGACAAUGGGGGCAACCCUGAUCCAGCCAUUCCGCGUGAGUGAAGAAGGCCUUCGGGUUGUAAAGCUCUUUUGUCCGGAACGAAACGGUGGAUGUGAAUAGCGUCCACUACUGACGGUACCGGAAGAAUAAGCACCGGCUAACUACGUGCCAGCAGCCGCGGUAAUACGUAGGGUGCGAGCGUUAAUCGGAAUUACUGGGCGUAAAGCGUGCGCAGGCGGUUUUGUAAGCCAGAUGUGAAAGCCCCGGGCUUAACCUGGGAAUGGCAUUUGGGACUGCAAGGCUUGAGUGCGGCAGAGGAGACUGGAAUUCCCGGUGUAGCAGUGAAAUGCGUAGAUAUCGGGAGGAAUACCGAUGGCG